rnacentral:rRNA from 1 species
AUACGUAGGUGGCAAGCGUUGUCCGGAAUUAUUGGGCGUAAAGCGCGCGCAGGUGGUUCCUUAAGUCUGAUGUGAAAGCCUCCGGCUCAACCGGGGAGGGUCAUUGGAAACUGGGGAACUUGAGUGCAGAAGAGGAUAGUGGAAUUCCAAGUGUAGCGGUGAAAUGCGUAGAGAUUUGGAGGAACACCAGUGGCGAAGGCGAAUGUCUGGUCUGUAACUGACGCUGAGGCGCGAAAGCGUGGGGAGCAAACAGGAUUAGAUACCCUGGUAGUCCACGCCGUAAACGAUGAGUGCUAAGUGUUGGGGGGUUUCCGCCCCUCAGUGCUGCAGCUAACGCAUUAAGCACUCCGCCUGGGGAGUACGGUCGCAAGACUGAAACUCAAAUGAAUUGACGGGG